rnacentral:rRNA from 1 species
AGGGUUAAAGGAUGGAUGGAGAAGUUCCUAUCUAUACAGGGUAAGGAAAUCUUAAUUAAAUCGGUAGCUCAAGCAAUUCCAUCAUAUGCUAUGCCCGUGUGUAAACUCCCCAAAGAAAUUUGCAAAACUAUCACCGAUGCGAUGUCUGGUUUUUGGUGGGGUGAUGGAGAAGAGAAAAGAAUGCAUUAGUUUGCGUGGUGGAAAUUGUGUGUGCCAAUGAAGAAAAGGGGAUUAGGAUUCAGAGGCCUUCAUAGUUUUAACCUUGCUAUGUUAGCAAAACAGUGUUGGCGACUAAUCCAGAACUCGGAUUCUCUAUGUGCACGUGUUUUGAGUGCAAAGUACUAUCCAGAGGGGAAUAUUUUGAAGGUAGGUCCGAAGAAAGGCUCAUAUUUCACUUGGCAGAGUAUAGUUGCAGGUAUACAUGCUUUUCAGAGAGGAUUUAUAUGGAGAGUGGGUACUGGAGCGCAUACCAAUAUUUAG